AUCUGAAAAGCCGUUGGUAUUUUCUAACUGCUAAAGGAAGAAAGAAUCGGCUUUUCUUAAAGAUGUGAUCCUUGUAGGUUGAUUCCAGGGCAGGGCCCACUCCCCAGAGUACUUGGGCAACGCAAACUUCAUACGAAAAAGGAGGAGGAGAGAGGAGGAGGACCAAUAGCAGGGUGAAGAGAGAGAACAGGUAUGCUUCUCUGACGCAGUUCUUAGAGCCUGAAGCAGCUAUGUCGUCAUCGCGCUUUGCAGACUUUGGUCUAAGACAGCCCAGCUCUUGACACAGCUGCCUCGAAGGAGAGGCAGGAAAGAAAUCCAUCAGCUACAUCUUCUCCUGCGGAAAAAAGGAUUAUCAAACUUCUCUUGAGGGACUUUUGUUCACAAAGCCAUUUCUCAGUUUUGACUCAAGGAUGUCUGAUAGCCAUGAUCCGGAAUCUACAAGACCCAAAGGUGACAUGAACAAGCAGAUCUUGGAGCAUCCAGAGCCUGCCUGGUACCAGCAGACCCACCUCCUUCCCCAACAUUUAUGUGAUGCUCUGAGGCAUUAAUCUACCUCCUGACCGACAUCCUUUAUCUCUAUUUGAGUAUGGAGAUAGGUAAAGGGUCUGUCUAUGCUACCAUCCUUGGAAUGUCACCUCUGCUCACUGGUUUGCCACCUUCCCUCUUGCCUGGGUCUUCCACUGUUCCACAUAAUAGAACUUCACAACACAGCAACCAGAGACAGAAAAGAAAACAUGCCUCCUUAAGACACUUCCUUAAGAACAACAAGAAAGACAGCGGAGUAGGAAUCUCAUGACUUAAACCCCAAGAAAGGACACAGACAGGAUAGAACACAGAAGUUGGGUCCAAAUGAAAACAAGUAUUGGCGAGAGCAUCUUUACCACCUCUGCAGUCGAAUGAAUGGGUCACUGCCAGCCAUCCUUGUUGAGGAGAUAUUUGGCAAGAAGCCAUUUGCAAAAAUAUCAUCUGUGACUUUCCUUUUGCUGGAGAUUUCAUUGGUUUGGAAAUUAUAAAUCACAGGAGCCGAUGAAAUAACUUUGAUCUUCCUAGUCUGUUCGUUCAUUGUGGCAUCAGGUCAUACCUGCACAGGCUUGAAGAUACACCGGCAGAUGGCAGAACAUAUGCCCUGAUUAAGAUUUAUGUAUUCAGUUCCGAUGAAUCUACAUAGGGUUUCCUAGAAAAGGAGAAGACGUACUGUAAGCAUGGAUGAGUGAAUGUCUGCUCAACUGUUUUCCUGCUGAAGAGAUCUGAAAAAUCACAGAACUUUGAGACAGUGUUGACAGGUCCCUGUUUUAUUUUUAUAAAAAAAAUCAAAUAGCUCUUCCUGCAUGUAGAUAUGAUUAUCUGCUUUCUUGUAAACAACACAAAGGGGAUCUGGCCCAAGACUGUGUGAAAGAUUUAUUUUUAUGU
rnacentral:lncRNA from 1 species